CAAUAAAUACUGGUAAGGCACUUCAAAAAAUAGCCAAAUCACACAUUAUUAAGAAAACCACUACAAUCAAAAUCGGUAACUAUCAGCUUUCGAGGGGGGUCUCAGGUUAUCAUGACGAUCGGGGUAAAGGAUGAACUACUAUUGCGGUCUGAAUUGAGGGAGUUUUGAUAACCGUUCGAAUACUAAUAAUAAAUAUCCUCCGGCAUAGCCGGAGGUUUUUCAGAUG
rnacentral:sRNA from 1 species